rnacentral:misc_RNA from 1 species
AACCUAGCACACCUGCGGUGUGUACCUGCGGAGGGAUCAUUACCGAGUUUACAACUCCCAAACCCCUGUGAACAUACCUAUACGUUGCCUCGGCGGAUCAGCCCGCGCCCUGUAAAAAGGGACGGCCCGCCCGAGGACCCCUAAACUCUGUUUUUAGUGGAACUUCUGAGUAAAACAAACAAAUAAAUCAAAACUUUUAACAAUGGAUCU